GAGACAAGAACAUGGGACCCUCGCCCCAGCACUGUAAAAACGUUUCUUUAGAAACACCCAAAGAUAGAAUGUCAGCAAAAGGGCAAAUUUGAUUCCAACGCCUUUUUCCUCCAUCGUUCUAUCAAAUCUCAAAAGGAUCAACGUUCGGUGCCAUAGCAUUGUUGAUUCUCUCUCAAUCACAGCCUGAAUGUGUGGGAUCUGUUGUAGUUGCGACCCAGUACAAGUAAACAAAUACAUUUCUUGGAUCUGAAGGAGAAGAGGAUCUUCUGUUAUUGCACGAGCAUUUGAAGUUUUUUGCACCAUCCCGGACUAAAAUAAUUAAUAUACUACACGAGAUGUGGUCUUUGUAUCUUCUUGCAAACAAAUUUCUGAAAUUAGAUGAAAGAAAUAAUGAAGGAUCAGCUGGAAAUAAUUUGGAAAUCAUUGAACACUACCAAAUCAAACAGUCACCAAGAAAAGAUGAAAGAUAUGGUUCAGUUUUGUCCUGUUUCAUUGAAGUGCCUCAUAUAAACCAACUACGCACAUGGGACUGUGGCCUUGCUUGUGUUCUAAUGGUUUUGAGAACUCUUGGCAUCUAUAAUUGCAAUAUUCAGGAACUGGGGGAGCUCUGCUCCACGACAAGUAUUUGGACGGUUGAUUUAGCCUAUUUGCUGCAGAAGUUUUCUGUAAGAUUUUCCUACUGUACAGUAACCUUAGGAGCUAACCCAAAUUUUUAUGUGGAGACGUUUUACAAGGAACAAUUGCCUAACGAUCUAGUUCGAGUAAAUUUGUUAUUUCAAGAAGCUCGGAAAGCUGAAAUCAAUAUAGAGUGCAGAUCUGUCAGUGCAGACGAAAUUUCUGAGCUUAUCUUAUCUGGAAAAUAUAUUGCUAUUGCUUUAGUUGACCAGUACAAACUAAGAUGCAGUCGUUCUUGGCUAGAGGAUGUUUACAUCUCUGACUUCUAUAGUGGCAGCCCUGGCUACACAGGUCAUUAUGUCAUUAUAUGUGGUUAUGAUGCUGUUGCAAAUGAAUUUGAGAUUCGAGAUCCCGCCAGUUCAAGGAAAUUUGAGAGGGUCACGUCAUUGUGUUUAGAAGAAUCCCGCAAAUCCUUUGGUACUGAUGAGGACAUUCUUCUGGUUCUCUCUAAACUCUUCCCUUCAUUGACCUCGAAAGGGACAACAUGUGACGCUUUUUAGUUGGCCUCUGUCCAAUCAAUAGUUCAAAAUUGCGAAUAUAAUGGUGCUACAAGUUGUCCUUUGAGAGUUUCAUGUCUCAGCGGAAAGGAAGUAAUAAUUGAUAAUUCUGUUGCAAAUUUGACCCCAUUGGGAAGACUGAAACUUUAUUUCAUUCGUACAUUUCGGGGCAGAGAUUUUUAAUAGCUAGAUUCAUUACAAAAUACAUUCUCAGGAAUGGUUGAAUGUAUACUCCAGCUAUAAUAUACUCCAGCACGGAUUCAUUACAUGCUUAAUUUUUCCUUUUUCAGUUUCUUGGUCACCAUGGGAGUGAGCAUCAUACUAGCCUUCCGUGAGUGCUGAUGUUGGACAGCCCUUUCUUUUGUUUGAGAGCUUUUGGCCCCUUCAGCACUAACCCACAAUUAACAGGCUUUCCUAUCAUUGUGUCAUUACAGUGAUCUUGUCCACUUUGUCUUCCACAGCAAGCCUAGCCUACUUUCGUAAAGUGUACUAUAAUUGAUAUCCCUGGAGAAAGGG